AACGAACGCUGGCGGCAUGCCUAACACAUGCAAGUCGAACGAGACCUUCGGGUCUAGUGGCGCACGGGUGCGUCACGCGUGGGAACCUGCCCUUAGGUUCGGCAUAACUCCCCGAAAGGGGUGCUAAUACCGGAUAAUGUCUUCGGACCAAAGAUUUAUCGCCGUUGGAUGGGCCCGCGUUGGAUUAGCUAGUUGGUAGGGUAAAAGCCUACUAAGGCGACGAUCCAUAGCUGGUCUGAGAGGAUGCUCAGCCACACUGGGACUGAGACACGGCCCAGACUCCUACGGGAGGCAGCAGUGGGGAAUAUUGGACAAUGGGCGGAAGCCUGAUCCAGCAAUGCCGCGUGAGUGAUGUAGGCCUGAGGGUUGUAAAGCUCUUUUACCCGGGAUGAUAAUGACAGUACCGGGAGAAUAAGCUCCGGCUAACUCCGUG
rnacentral:rRNA from 1 species